rnacentral:rRNA from 1 species
GUGUCAGCCGCCGCGGUAAUACGUAGGGGGCUAGCGUUGUCCGGAAUCAUUGGGCGUAAAGCGCGCGUAGGCGGCCCGACAAGUCCGCUGUAAAAGUCAACGGCUCAACCGUUGAACGCCGGUGGAUACUGUCGGGCUAGAGUCCGGAAGAGGCGAGUGGAAUUCCUGGUGUAGCGGUGGAAUGCGCAGAUAUCAGGAGGAACACCAAUAGCGAAGGCAGCUCGCUGGGACGGUACUGACGCUGAGGCGCGAAAGCGUGGGGAGCGAACAGGAUUAGAAACCCCCGUAGUCC